rnacentral:rRNA from 1 species
CUCAGGACGAACGCUGGCGGCGUGCCUAAUACAUGCAAGUCGAACGGUCUUUCUAUGGAAGCUUGCUUCCACUGAGAAGAUAGUGGCGAACGGGUGAGUAACACGUGGGUAACCUGCCCAUAAGAGGGGGAUAACAUCCGGAAACGGGUGCUAAUACCGCAUAGUUUUCUUGAUCGCAUGAUCGGGAAGGGAAAGACGGCCUUUGUGCUGUCGCUUAUGGAUGGACCCGCGGCGUAUUAGUUAGUUGGUGAGGUAACGGCUCACCAAGACGAUGAUACGUAGCCGACCUGAGAGGGUGAUCGGCCACAUUGGGACUGAGACACGGCCCAAACUCCUACGGGAGGCAGCAGUAGGGAAUCCUCCGCAAUGGACGAAAGUCUGACGGAGCAACGCCGCGUGAGUGAAGAAAGGGUUUUCGGAUCGUAAAACUCUGUUGUCAGAGAAGAACAAGUUGGAGAGUAACUGCUCCAGCCUUGACGGUAUCUGACCAGAAAGCCACGGCUAACUACGUGCCAGCAGCCGC